GUGCUCGCUUUGGCAGCGCAUAGACUAAAACCGGAAUAAUACAGAGAAGAUCAGCACGGCCCCUGUGCAAGCAGGAUGCACAAAUUUGUGAGCGUUCCACAUUCUU
ensembl:snRNA U6 U6 spliceosomal RNA